rnacentral:rRNA from 1 species
GACGAACGCUGGCGGCGUGCUUAACACAUGCAAGUCGAACGGAAAGGCCCUGCUUUUGUGGGGUGCUCGAGUGGCGAACGGGUGAGUAACACGUGAGUAACCUGCCCUUGACUUUGGGAUAACUUCAGGAAACUGGGGCUAAUACCGGAUAGGAGCUCCUGCUGCAUGGUGGGGGUUGGACAGUUUCGGCGGUUGGGGAUGGACUCGCGGCUUAUCAGCUUGUUGGUGGGGUAGUGGCUUACCAAGGCUUUGACGGGUAGCCGGCCUGAGAGGGUGACCGGCUACAGUGGGACUGAGAUACGGCCCAGACUCCUACGGGAGGCAGCAGUGGGGAAUAUUGCACAAUGGACGGAAGCCUGAUGCAGCAACGCCGCGUGCGGGAUGACGGCCUUCGGGUUGUAAACCGCUUUCGCCUGUGACGAAGCGUGAGUGACGGUAAUGGGUAAAGAAGCACCGGCUAACUACGUG